rnacentral:rRNA from 1 species
AGAACGAACGCUGGCGGCAGGCCUAAUACAUGCAAGUCGAACGCCGUAGCAAUACGGAGUGGCAGACGGGUGAGUAACACGUGGGAACCUUCCCAAUGGUACGGAAUAGCCCGGGGAAACCCGGAGUAAUACCGUAUACGCCCGAAAGGGGAAAGAUUUAUCGCCAUUGGAUGGGCCCGCGUCGGAUUAGCUAGUUGGUGAGGUAACGGCUCACCAAGGCGACGAUCCGUAGCUGGUCUGAGAGGAUGAUCAGCCACACUGGGACUGAGACACGGCCCAGACUCCUACGGGAGGCAGCAGUAGGGAAUAUUGGACAAUGGGCGAAAGCCUGAUCCAGCCAUGCCGCGUGAGUGACGAAGGGCCUUACGGGUUGUAAA